rnacentral:rRNA from 1 species
UCUUGGUCAGAUUGAACGCUGGCGGCAUGCCUUACACAUGCAAGUCGAACGGUAACAGGUCUUCGGAUGCUGACGAGUGGCGAACGGGUGAGUAAUACAUCGGAACGUGCCCGAUCGUGGGGGAUAACGAGGCGAAAGCUUUGCUAAUACCGCAUACGAUCUACGGAUGAAAGCGGGGGAUCUUCGGACCUCGCGCGGACGGAGCGGCCGAUGGCAGAUUAGGUAGUUGGUGGGAUAAAAGCUUACCAAGCCGACGAUCUGUAGCUGGUCUGAGAGGAUGAUCAGCCACACUGGGACUGAGACACGGCCCAGACUCCUACGGGAGGCAGCAGUGGGGAAUUUUGGACAAUGGGCGAAAGCCUGAUCCAGCCAUGCCGCGUGCAGGAUGAAGGCCUUCGGGUUGUAAACUGCUUUUGUACGGAACGAAAAGCCUCUUUCUAAUAAAGAGGGGUCAUGACGGUACCGUAAGAAUAAGCACCGGCUAACUACGUGCCAGCAGCAGC